rnacentral:piRNA from 1 species
UUUUGCGCCUCUUUUUCUAAA